rnacentral:rRNA from 1 species
UACGGGGGGAGCAAGCGUUGUUCGGAUUUACUGGGCGUAAAGGGCGCGUAGGCGGUCGUGACAAGUCACUUGUGAAAUCUCCGGGCUUAACUCGGAACGGUCAAGUGAUACUGUCGGACUAGAGUACAGAAGGGGCAACUGGAAUUCCUGGUGUAGCGGUGGAAUGCGCAGAUAUCAGGAGGAACACCGAUGGCGAAGGCAGAUCUCUGGGCCGUAACUGACGCUGAGGAGCGAAAGCAUGGGGAGCGAACAGG